UGUCCAGGGAUGGGAAUCGAACCCACAGUGUUCCGCUUACUGAGCAGAUGCCAUGUCCACUAGGCUUUUC